UUUGGCAAUAGUUAGAAUUCACA
rnacentral:miRNA from 14 species